rfam:Camelus ferus unplaced genomic scaffold scaffold1415, whole genome shotgun sequence.
GAGGGUAUAGCUCAAGUGGUAGAGUGCAUGCUUAGCAUGCACGAGGUCUUGGGUUCGAUCUCCAGUAUCUCCU